UACGUAGGGGGCAAGCGUUGUCCGGAUUUAUUGGGCGUAAAGAGCGUGUAGGCGGCCGCACAGGUCCGUUGUGAAAACUGGAGGCUCAACCUUCAGACGUCGAUGGAAACCGUGCGGCUAGAGUCCGGAAGAGGAGAGUGGAAUUCCUGGUGUAGCGGUGAAAUGCUUAGAUAUUGCACAGAACACCAAUUGCGAAGGCAGCUCGCUAAGCUGUAACUGACGCUCAUGCACGAAAGCGUGGGGAGCAAACAGG
rnacentral:rRNA from 1 species